ACAUGCAAGUCGAACGAAAAGAGGGAAAGAGCUUGCUCUUUCCGGAAUUGAGUGGCAAACGGGUGAGUAACACGUAAACAACCUGCCUUCAGGAUGGGGACAACAGACGGAAACGACUGCUAAUACCGAAUAAGUUCCAAGAGCCGCAUGGCCCAUGGAAGAAAAGGUGGCCUCUACCUGUAAGCUAUCGCCUGAAGAGGGGUUUGCGUCUGAUUAGCUGGUUGGAGGGGUAACGGCCCACCAAGGCGACGAUCAGUAGCCGGUCUGAGAGGAUGAACGGCCACACUGGAACUGAGACACGGUCCAGACUCCUACGGGAGGCAGCAGUGGGGAAUCUUCCGCAAUGGGCGAAAGCCUGACGGAGCAACGCCGCGUGAGUGAUGACGGCCUUCGGGUUGUAAAACUCUGUGAUCCGGGACGAAAAGGCAGAGUGCGAAGAACAAACUGCAUUGACGGUACCGGAAAAGCAAGCCACGGCUAACUACGUG
rnacentral:rRNA from 1 species